AGAGCGAACGCUGGCGGCAGGCCUAACACAUGCAAGUCGAGCGGCCGUAGCAAUACGGCAGCGGCAGACGGGAUAGUAACACGUGGGAACGCGCCCUUCGGUUCGGAAUAACUCAGGGAAACUUGAGCUAAUACCGGAUACGCCCUUACGGGGAAAGAUUUAUUGCCGAAGGAACGGCCCGCGUCCGAUUAGCUAGUUGGUGAGGUAAUGGCUCACCAAGGCUACGAUCGGUAGCUGGUCUGAGAGGAUGACCAGCAUCACUGGGACUGAGACACGGCCCAGACUCCUACGGGAGGCAGCAGUGGGGAAUAUUGGACAAUGGGGGAAACCCUGAUCCAGCGAUGCCGCGUGAGUGAUGAAGGCCUUCGGGUUGUAAAACUCUUUCGACGGGACGAUAAUGACGGUACCCGUAGAAGAAGCUCCGGCUAACUUCGUGCCAGCAGCCGC
rnacentral:rRNA from 1 species